rnacentral:other from 1 species
UACUGCGAUGUUGGUUAGCAGCCAUCAAAAUCCUUGAGCCGUUUUAUCCUCCUAGGGGUCUUUCGUACAACGCUGGUGUGCAUGCCCGAUUCGUCGGGAAGCCUGAUGAGGUUGUCAAUAACCCCACCUGAACCUUUGGUUCAAGGUUGAUAUAUUUGCGACGGCAUUGUGGUUG